rnacentral:rRNA from 1 species
CAGCGAAAGACUGUGCUAAUACCGCAUACGAUCUACGGAUGAAAGCAGGGAUCGCAAGACCUUGCGCGAAUGGAGCGGCCGAUGGCAGAUUAGGUAGUUGGUGAGGUAAAGGCUCACCAAGCCUUCGAUCUGUAGCUGGUCUGAGAGGACGACCAGCCACACUGGGACUGAGACACGGCCCAGACUCCUACGGGAGGCAGCAGCC